rnacentral:rRNA from 1 species
GGUGACGAAGCGACGCCGCGUGUGGGAUGAAGGCCUUCGGGUUGUAAACCACUGUCGGGAGUUAAGAAUUGUAGGAAUGCUAAUAGUAUUUCUACUUGACUAAGGCUCCGGAGGAAGCCACGGCUAACUCUGUGCCAGCAGCCGCGGUAAUACAGAGGCGGCAAGCGUUGUUCGGAAUUAUUGGGCGUAAAGAGCAUGUAGGCGGCUAUGUAAGUCGGUUGUGAAAGCCUUCCGCUUAACGGAAGAAUGGCGGUCGAAACUGCAUGGCUUGAGUGCGGGAGGGGAGAGUGGAACUUCUGGUGGGGCGGUGAAAUGCGUAGAUAUCAGAAGGAACGUCGGCGGCGAAAGCGACUCUCUAGACCGUAACUGACGCUGAGUGUGCGAAAGCUAGGGGAGCAAACGGGAUUAGAUACCCCGGUAGUCCUAGCCGUAAACGAUGGGCACUAAGUAGAGGGGUUU